UACGUAGGGUGCAAGCGUUGUCCGGAAUUAUUGGGCGUAAAGAGCUCGUAGGCGGUUUGUCGCGUCUGCUGUGAAAACUCAGGGCUUAACCCUGAGCCUGCAGUGGGUACGGGCAGACUAGAGUGUGGUAGGGGAGAUCGGAAUUCCUGGUGUAGCGGUGGAAUGCGUAGAGAUCCGGAAGAACACCGGUGGCGAAGGCGGCCUGCUGGGCAGUGGCUGACGCUGAGGCGCGACAGCGUGGGGAGCAAACAGG
rnacentral:rRNA from 1 species